rnacentral:rRNA from 1 species
GCGAACUGCUCAGUAACACGUAGCUAACCUACCCUUAAGUCAAGGAUACCCUCGGGAAACUGAGGUUAAUACUUGAUAGGAGAUAUACCCUGGAAAGAUUUAUCUCUCAAACUCGAGCUUAAGGAUGGGGCUGCGCCGGAUUAGGUUGUUGGCGGGGUAAUAGCCCACCAAGCCGAAGAUCCGUAAGGGCUCUUAGCGGAGGGGCCCUGAGAGGGAAUCUGAGACACUAUUCCCAGCCCUACGGGGUGCAGCAGUUAGGAAUAAUCUACAAUGCGCGAAAGCGUGAUAGUUUGAGCCAGAGUGUCUAUCUUUCGAUAGACUUUUGCCAAGUGUAAAAAGCUUGGAGAAUAAGGACUGGGUAAGACUAGUGCCAGCCGCCGCGGUAAUACUAGCGGUCCAAGUCGCAGCCAUUUUUAUUGGGUCUAAAACAUCCGUAGCUUGCUUAGCAAGUCCUUUGUGAAAUCCUAUAUCUUAAGUAUAGGGCGGGCAAGGGAUACUACUGAGCUAGAGACUGGAAGACGUAAAAAGUAUGUCUGGAGUAGCGGUCCAAUGUGUUGAUCCUAGACAGACUCACAAUAGCGAAGGCAUUCUACGAGGACAGGUCUGACAGUAAGG